rnacentral:rRNA from 1 species
UGCAAGUCGAGGGGCAGCAUGGUCUUAGCUUGCUAAGGCCGAUGGCGACCGGCGCACGGGUGAGUAACGCGUAUCCAACCUGCCCUUUACUCCGGGAUAGUCUCCUGAAAGGGAGUUUAAUACCGGAUGUGUUUGUCUUUCCGCAUGGGAGCGACAAAUAAAGAUUGAUUGGUAAAGGAUGGGGAUGCGUCCCAUUAGCUUGUUGGCGGGGUAACGGCCCACCAAGGCGACGAUGGGUAGGGGUUCUGAGAGGAAGGUCCCCACAUUGGAACUGAGACACGGUCCAAACUCC